GAUGAACGCUGGCGGCGUGCUUAACACAUGCAAGUCGAACGAUGAACCUCACUUGUGGGGGGAUUAGUGGCGAACGGGUGAGUAACACGUGAGUAACCUGCCCUUAACUCUGGGAUAAGC
rnacentral:rRNA from 1 species